rnacentral:rRNA from 1 species
GCAGUCGAACGAUGAAGCCCAGCUUGCUGGGUGGAUUAGUGGCGAACGGGUGAGUAACACGUGAGUAACCUGCCCUUAACUCUGGGAUAAGCCUGGGAAACUGGGUCUAAUACCGGAUAGGAGCGCCUACCGCAUGGUGGGUGUUGGAAAGAUUUAUCGGUUUUGGAUGGACUCGCGGCCUAUCAGCUUGUUGGUGAGGUAAUGGCUCACCAAGGCGACGACGGGUAGCCGGCCUGAGAGGGUGACCGGCCACACUGGGACUGAGACACGGCCCAGACUCCUACGGGAGGCAGCAGUGGGGAAUAUUGCACAAUGGGCGCAAGCCUGAUGCAGCGACGCCGCGUGAGGGAUGACGGCCUUCGGGUUGUAAACCUCUUUCAGUAGGGAAGAAGCGAAAGUGACGGUACCUGCAGAAGAAGCACCGGCUAACUACGUGCCAGCAGCCGCGGUAAUACGUAGGGUGCGAGCGUUAUCCGGAAUUAUUGGGCGUAAAGAGCUCGUAGGCGGUUUGUCGCGUCUGUCGUGAAAGUCCGGGGCUUAACCCCGGAUCUGCGGUGGGUACGGGCAGACUAGAGUGCAGUAGGGGAGACUGGAAUUCCUGGUGUAGCGGUGGAAUGCGCAGAUAUCAGGAGGAACACCGAUGGCGAAGGCAGGUCUCUGGGCUGUAACUGACGCUGAGGAGCGAAAGCAUGGGGAGCGAACAGGAUUAGAUACCCUGGUAGUCCAUGCCGUAAACGUUGGGCACUAGGUGUGGGGACCAUUCCACGGUUUCCGCGCCGCAGCUAACGCAUUAAGUGCCCCGCCUGGGGAGUACGGCCGCAAGGCUAAAACUCAAAGGAAUUGACGGGGGCCCGCACAAGCGGCGGAGCAUGCGGAUUAAUUCGAUGCAACGCGAAGAACCUUACCAAGGCUUGACAUGUUCUCGAUCGCCGUAGAGAUACGGUUUCCCCUUUGGGGCGGGUUCACAGGUGGUGCAUGGUUGUCGUCAGCUCGUGUCGUGAGAUGUUGGGUUAAGUCCCGCAACGAGCGCAACCCUCGUUCCAUGUUGCCAGCACGUAAUGGUGGGGACUCAUGGGAGACUGCCGGGGUCAACUCGGAGGAAGGUGAGGACGACGUCAAAUCAUCAUGCCCCUUAUGUCUUGGGCUUCACGCAUGCUACAAUGGCCGGUACAAUGGGUUGCGAUACUGUGAGGUGGAGCUAAUCCCAAAAAGCCGGUGUCAGUUCGGAGUGGGGUCUGCAACUCGACCCCAUGAAGU